rnacentral:tRNA from 1 species
GCGGGUGUGGUGGAAUUGGUAGACACGCUAGUCUUAGGAACUAGUGCAGCAAUGCGUGAAGGUUCGAGUCCUUUCACCCGCA